CGCGGAUCCUAGCUUAACUGGGUUGGGUCGGGUCAGGUCAGUCUACUCAAAACAACGUUGUUUUGACGUCUGAGGAAACCGACCAAAAAGGCGCCGUUUUGGUCCUUUAUAAAAGCUUAAAAUUUUUUUAAAAAAAUCAUUCUCCCCAAGUUUUAAAAAAAAAAAACAAAAAAAGGCUUCUCUCUUCUCUCUGGGUCAGCCCAGAUUCCGGCCAAGAAGCCAGCCAGCCUCAGCCGUCCUCGCCGUCGCCAACCCGCCGCCAGUCACCGCACACGGUGGCCAAAAAUCCAAAGGGGAGCAGUUGGGGCGGUGGCAGGUGGCUGACAAACGGUGGAGCAAGUGGCUGACAAGGCUAGGGCGGCGGCUAGCUUAGGGUUUUCUUAGUUUUUCCUUUUUUUUUUAAUUAUUGUGGGCUAGGGUUAAAAGGAUUUUAGGUUGUUGGGUUUAAGGGAUAGUUGGAUUUAAAGGAUAAUUGGGUUUGGGCCAGGCAAAUUGGGCUUGUAACAGCUUAUCAGUUCUCAACAUGUCGAUGCUGGUGAAUUCCUUUUUCUUUUUGUUUUAUCUAAGAAGCUGAAAAUUAAUAAUAUUAUUUUAUCAAAGCA